ensembl:snRNA U6 U6 spliceosomal RNA
GUGCUUGCUUCAGCAGCACAUAUACUAAAAUUGGAACGAUGCAGAGAAGAUUAGCAUGGUCCCUGCACAAGGAUGACACAUAAAUUUAUGAUAUGUUCCAUAUUUAU